CAAUUACUCCCUCCGUUCCGAAUUACUUGUCUUAGAUUUGUCUAGAUACGGAGGUAUCUAGCACUAAAAUGAGUCUAGAUACAUCCGUAUCUAGACAAAUCCAAGACAAGUAAUUUGGAACGGAGGGAGUAGCUU
rnacentral:pre_miRNA from 1 species